rnacentral:rRNA from 1 species
CAGCAGCCACGGUAAUACGAAGGGUGCAAGCGUUAAUCGGAAUUACUGGGCGUAAAGCGUGCGUAGGCGGUUUGUUAAGUCUGCUGUGAAAUCCCCGGGCUCAACCUGGGAAUGGCAGUGGAUACUGGCAAGCUAGAGUGUGUCAGAGGAUGGUGGAAUUCCCGGUGUAGCGGUGAAAUGCGUAGAGAUCGGGAGGAACAUCAGUGGCGAAGGCGGCCAUCUGGGACAACACUGACGCUGAGGCACGAAAGCGUGGGGAGCAAACAGGAUUAGAUACCCGCGUAGUCCCUGUCUCUUAUAA